rnacentral:rRNA from 1 species
UGGGGAAUAUUGCACAAUGGGCGCAAGCCUGAUGCAGCCAUGCCGCGUGUAUGAAGAAGGCCUUCGGGUUGUAAAGUACUUUCAGCGGGGAGGAAGGGAGUAUAGUUAAUACCUUUGCUCAUUGACGUUACCCGCAGAAGAAGCACCGGCUAACUCCGUGCCAGCAGCCGCGGUAAUACGGAGGGUGCAAGCGUUAAUCGGAAUUACUGGGCGUAAAGCGCACGCAGGCGGUUUGUUAAGUCAGAUGUGAAAUCCCCGGGCUCAACCUGGGAACUGCCUCUGAUACUGGCAAGCUUGAGUCUCGUAGAGGGGGGUAGAAUUCCAGGUGUAGCGGUGAAAUGCGUAGAGAUCUGGAGGAAUACCGGUGGCGAAGGCGGCCCCCUGGACGAAGACUGACGCUCAGGUGCGAAAGCGUGGGGAGCAAACAGG